GACGAACGCUGGCGGCGUGCCUAAUACAUGCAAGUAGAACGCUGAAGGAGGAGCUUGCUUCUCUGGAUGAGUUGCGAACGGGUGAGUAACGCGUAGGUAACCUGCCUGGUAGCGGGGGAUAACUAUUGGAAACGAAAGCUAAUACCGCAUAAUAGCAGUUGUCGCAUGACAACUGUUUGAAAGGUGCAAUUGCACCACUACCAGAUGGACCUGCGAUGUAUUAGCUAGUUGGUGGGGUAACGGCUCACCAAGGCGACGAUACAUAGCCGACCUGAGAGGGGGAUCGGCCACACUGGGACUGAGACACGGCCCAGACUCCUACGGGAGGCAGCAGUAGGGAAUCUUCGGCAAUGGACGGAAGUCUGACCGAGCAACGCCGCGUGAGUGAAGAAGGUUUUCGGAUCGUAAAGCUCUGUUGUAAGAGAAGAACGAGUGUGAGAGUGGAAAGUUCACACUGUGACGGUAUCUUACCAGAAAGGGACGGCUAACUACGUG
rnacentral:rRNA from 1 species